rnacentral:rRNA from 1 species
AUUGAACGCUGGCGGCAUGCUUUACACAUGCAAGUCGAGCGGCAGCGCGGGGGCAACCCUGGCGGCGAGCGGCGAACGGGUGAGUAAUGCAUCGGAACGUAUCCUCGAGUGGGGGAUAACCCAGCGAAAGUUGGGCUAAUACCGCAUGAGCUCUGAGGAGGAAAGCGGGGGACCUGCGAGGGCCUCGCGCUGGAGGAGCGGCCGAUGUCCGAUUAGCUAGUUGGUGGGGUAAAGGCUUACCAAGGCGACGAUCGGUAGCUGGUCUGAGAGGAUGACCAGCCACACUGGGACUGAGACACGGCCCAGACUCCUACGGGAGGCAGCAGUGGGGAAUUUUGGACAAUGGGGGCAACCCUGAUCCAGCCAUGCCGCGUGAGUGAAGAAGGCCUUCGGGUUGUAAAGCUCUUUCGGACGGAACGAAAUGGGCGGGACUAAUACUCCUGUCUGAUGACGGUACCGUAAGAAGAAGCACCGGCUAACUACGUG